rnacentral:misc_RNA from 1 species
AUCCUAGCCACAAGGAUUAGAUUUAAAGGCAUCCUAUGUUACAAUCAAUCUAUUUGAAGCUUGAUUAUAAAUCUUCAACUCUUGAAGUCUUUUACUCACAUUGAUCCCCAUCAAUGUCUUGAACUCCUUUUCUUCUUGUAAAUUCCAUCAAUGUCAUACAUUUAAUUUUCUUAGCAUACCAAAGUGAAAUUACAAAAGAAAUGAACUCAAAUUGCUCAAAUAAAUAAAUUACAACCUUUAUGCAUCAAAAAUAAAAUUUAAUUAUUAUAUUCCUGUAAAAAUAAAUAAGAAAAUAAUCAUAUUGGUUUCCUAAGUCCAUGAUCAUCCUUUAUG